AGGCUCCAUGCACCGGGAGCCCGAUGUGGGAUUCAAUCCCGGGUCUCCAGGAUCGUGCCCUGGGCCAAAGGCAGGCGCCAAACCGCUGCACCACCCAGGGAUCCCCUAAUAUUAGCUUUUUAGUAGUUUGUUUUGGUAUAAUAACUGUAACCAUUUAGGAAAUCUCUCUGCCAUAAUCAAAGGACAAGCAAGUUGUAAGCAGAUACACUGUGGUCUUUUUUCAUAGCUAAUGCCUUCUCAGGGAAAUAUGUAAUUAGAAUUAAGCUUGGGCACAGAGCUAUUGUUUUGUAUUUUCAUGCUUUGUGUGUUUGAGGGAAAGAAUCUCCAACUCACUGGGGAGAACACAUGGUCCCAACCAUAGGGAAGAAAAUAAAACUCUGACUUUUAAAGGGACAGCCAUGAUUGAAGCAAGAGGCAGCUGGCAUUGUCAACUGAAGGGCAACCAGUUUAUCAGCAGUGUGACCAUAGCUGCCAUUGCUGGGGCAUCCUAGCAGAGAACACGUGUGAAAAUGAUCACUUUUCUUAAGAAUUUGUAAGUAAGAAAAUAAAUUCCCCAUACCAAUAAACUAGUACAAAUGCAGGAGAGGCUGGUUCAAAAUUGGGAUAAUCAGGUGGCAUCAUUUGGAAUAGAGAAGAUUUUAAAUUGGCAAAGGGACAAACAUGCAAUGCUGAGACCACUAUUCUCUUUCAGUUUCAGAACUACUAGAUUUUCAUCCACGGUUCAUUUCGUGCUUAUCUGUAUUUUGCAGCACAUACCUCCCCCUAUCAAAAGUGACUUCAAAACAAACACAUGCAACGGUCGUUUUGCAAAGCUACAGAAGGAAGACAUUGGAGAGUUCAUAUGCUAUUUUAGCUGGCUCUGUGAUUGCAAUCACACAAAUCACUACAUUCCAGAGAGAUCCCAUGAACAGAAGGUUUUUCCAUUUUCAGUCUUUCAAGGUUAUGGAACAAUUUUUCCUAGAGCUGCUGGUGGACAGAUAUUCUGUGUUGUCUUUGCUGCAAUUGGAAUCCCUCUAAGUAUCAUAUGCUUUAAAUGUAUUGAUAAAUUAAUUUCUCUACCAUUUGAAAACCUUGGAAACUACCUUAUAUGUAAGAGAAUAAAUGAGGAAAGUUUUCUCUUUCUCCACACAAUCACACACACACACACACACACACACACACACGGUAGAGAAGUUUUGUUUUUAAAAUAUAUGUAUGAUGUAGAUUCACAACCUUAGAUUGACCAAGCACAUGACACUUUAUAUUUAUUGGAUUCAUGCUGAAUGAAAUUUGUAGGAGUAGAAAAAGCAUGUCAAUUUGUGUUGUGAAACAAGAGAGAAAAUCAGCAUUCAAGAAACCAUCUAUUUCCCCUUAGUGAUUUUCCUCUGAUCAUUUAACUUAUAAAAUGAGUGGUGGUGAGGGGCACCUAGAUGGCUCAGUUGGUUGAGCUUCUGACUCUUGAUUUCAGCUCAGGUCAUGAAUUCAGAGUAUUGAGAUCAAGC
rnacentral:lncRNA from 1 species